rnacentral:misc_RNA from 1 species
GAUGAAGAACGCAGCGAAAUGCGAUAAUUAAUGUGAAUUGCAGAAUUCCGUGAAUCAUCGAGUCUUUGAACGCACAUUGCGCCUCAUGGCAUUCCGUGAGGCAUGCCCAUCUCAGCGUUAGAAAAUAUUCUCAAAUUUUAGUUUUGUGCUAAAAUUUGGAUCAUGUCAAGGAAGCUAUUACUAUUAUUGUGAUCGCUCUUUGGAAAUUGAUAGGUCUUUGAGUUGCUACUCAUAGAACGUGAUGAAUCUUUCUUCGUUCUAUUUAAUUCACUCUGGUAGUCCUAAAACUUGUAUGCCUGUGGCAUAUCUUGUAAUUUGACCUGAGAUUGGGUAGGGAUACCCGCUGAACUUAAGCAUAUCAAUAAGCGGAGGA